rnacentral:tRNA from 1 species
GGAGAGGUGGCAGAGCGGUUGAAUGCGUCAGUCUUGAAAACUGAAGUCCCCUUAAAAGGACCGCGAGUUCGAAUCUCGCCCUCUCCGC